rnacentral:rRNA from 1 species
UUUAUCAAAAACAUCGCCUCUUGCAAAAACAACGAAUAAGAGGUCCCGCCUGCCCGGUGACAUAGUUUAACGGCCGCGGUAUUUUGACCGUGCGAAGGUAGCGCAAUCACUUGUCUUUUAAAUGGAGACCUGUAUGAAUGGCAUCACGAGGGCUCGACUGUCUCCUUUCUCAGGCCAAUGAAAUUGAUCUCCCCGUGCAGAAGCGGGGAUAAUAACAUAAGACGAGAAGACCCUAUGGAGCUUUAGACACCAAGACAGCUUACGUCAAGUAUACCCACAACACGGGGCCGAACUGAGCAUGCCCUGUCCUAAUGUCUUUGGUUGGGGCGACCCUGGGGAGAUAAAGAACCCCCACGUGGAAUGGAAACAUGUUUCCAGAACCAAGAGCUCCCGCUCUAAGAAGCAGAACUUCUGACCAACUAGAUCCGGCAAAGCCGAUCAACGGACCGAGUUACCCUAGGGAUAACAGCGCAAUCCCCUUUUAGAGGCCCUAUCGACAAGGGGGUUUACGACCUCGAUGUUGGAUCAGGACAUCCUAAUGGUGCAGCCGCUAUUAAGGGUUCGUUUGUUCAACGAUUAAAGUCCUACGUGAUCUGAGUUCA